UACGUAGGGCGCAAGCGUUGUCCGGAAUUAUUGGGCGUAAAGAGCUCGUAGGCGGUCUGUCGCGUCGGUUGUGAAAGCCCACAGCUUAACUGUGGGUCUGCAUCCGAUACGGGCAGACUAGAGGCAGGUAGGGGAGCAUGGAAUUCCCGGUGUAGCGGUGAAAUGCGUAGAUAUCAGGAGGAAUACCGAUGGCGAAGGCAGUACUCUGGGCUAACACUGACGCUGAGGUGCGAAAGCGUGGGGAGCAAACGGG
rnacentral:rRNA from 1 species